CAUACGAGAUAAUGCGAUACUUCUCUUUCUCUGACUGGUUCAUUUCACUUAGCAUAAUAAUACUCUCCAGGUCCCUCCAUCCUGAAUGACCCCAUUCUUAACCCCAGGAUUCCAGGAGGGCAGAUAGGCAGGAUGAAAGCAGUCUAGCUAGGCUAGGGGAAGGUGAGGCAGGCUGCACAAACUGCACAGGCCCACUUUGGCCUUGCUCCCACGACCCCCACGGACCUGGGCUGUCUGGCCACGCACAACCACAAGGUGGCGUUGCGGGCCGGGAGCCUCUGGAGGGGCCUCAGAGACGCCUGUGGGGCUUCUGCCCUCCUGGAGGCCAGGGCUGGGGGUACAGGAUAAUGACCCCACAGGAAGGAGGGCCCUGCACCAUGUGGUGGCAUCUGCACCCUCCCACUACAGCUGUCUCAGGGCGGAGAUGACCUGCCUCAGAGCUCCUCUUCUCCUGCAGGAGCCCCACCCCCACCCCUGCCUUCAGCACCCCUUUGUCCCUAUCUCUAAAACCCCUGUGUUCCAUGUCCCUCUCUCAAGUGCUCCUUCCUCAAGCAGGGCUUUGGGAGGGCCCAGACCCAUUGGGUGAAAGUCCCAGAGAUCUUUCCCGGACCCUGCAUUUGAAAUCUCUCUAAUCCAGGGAAUGCAGAAGGGGUGGAGAACCAAUCGGAGGACUCUAAGGGCCGGGGUCUUACUCCCACAACACCCCCUUCUCAUGCCUCAGCCCUUUCAUAUUGACCAUGGUGCCAGCCUUGGGUUCCUGUGUGUGUGUGUGUGGGGGGGGGGGGGGGGGGGGGGUUGAGUGACAAGAUGGGCAAGCUCCCCACCCAUACCUGUGACUUGCAUGUUCUAGGUUCUGAGCAUUGCUCACCUAUAACCCCUCCCAAGUGCCAGCCCCUUCUUUCCAGGCCCACUUGUCCUACUCAGUGUGGAUGAGCCUCCUCCAGGAAGCCUUCCUGACCUGUCCACAGGGCUCACAGUUCCCUGUGCUGUUUAGUUAGAUGUCUUCUGUGUCCUUGUACCCCCUCCCAUCCCAGGGAACCAGAGAAUGUGAGACUCCUUAGGGCAGAGAUGGGGUGACCUGUGGUUGUUGGGGAUGAUGGUGAUGGAUAUUCCUGCAGACCUUGGCCAAUUAGAAGGAAGAAUUUGCUGACAGUAGAGCCACUCAGAUGAGCUGGAAAUGAGCUCCCCUGUCACUGGAAGUGCACAGAGGAGUUAGCACAGCAGUGAAAUGACAGGAAGGAACAAAGUACUGUUGGAGCUCAGAGGAGGGACCUCAGGGAAAACUUCUGAAGGAGGUGAGAUAGGAACUGGGUCUAUUAGCAUGGGGAGGAGUUGAGAGGUAGAGAGGAGGGCCAGGGCAAGGCGUGUGAGUUCAUGGGAGAGGGGAGAUAAGGAAGGUGGGUGCAAGCUGUUGGUGCACCCCCCCUUCCCCCCGAGUAAUCCCCCCAUGUCACCUCUCUCCCCUAUUGGGCUUUUCAGGAAGAACACACUCCCCAGGGCAAAGCUGGUGCUGAUUCAUCCUUGUGGCCCCAGGGCCCAGCCCAGGCAAUAUGAGUGGACACUGGUCAAGUGAUGGAAAGAGGGACUCUUUCUAACGUUUAUUGAACCAAGGACUAGUUAGGUGCCAGGUGGGGCCGGUGGGGGACAGAGCUCUCACUGUCCUGCGGUGUCUUUGUGGGACCAGCCCCCUGUUGCCCACAUGGCCACGGAUGGCUGGCUUCCACCCAACACCUCCUUCCCCAACAUACCCCCAGGACACACUCUUAGGAAAGUGAACAAAUGCAACUCUUUUUCUUUUACAAAUGACACUUUGCAUCCCCUGCCAGCAGGGGUGGGGGUGGGGAACGGGUUAAAGGUGACAGUCCAUAAAAAAGACAACAUCUAUAAAACGAGCCUAAGGAAAGAGCCAGGGCUGGGAGGCUGAGAUGCCACCCUGGUGGGGGAACAUAAUACUGGGUGGGGACUGCCUGCCUCCUUCUGCUGCACUCACAGUAGGGGAGGUGGGCUGUGGGCUCUGGGCCAGUGGGGGCUGAAUCUGGGAGGCCUGUCCUGGCUUGUGGCAGGGGGGUUGGGGGGGACUCCAGGACUGCAUCAACAUCUUGGGGGAGCAUCUAGGAACAGGGCCUGAAGGAUCAAUGGGUACGUUUCCAGUCUUGAUGCUGGGGGACCCCGCCCGAGUGGGAAACUGGCAGGGCUGGGACUGGCAUGCCUGACGCUUCCAGAAGCUCUGAGAGGUGAAGUGACAGCCCGGGCAUCGCAGCUGGUCAGUGGGCCAGAGUCCUACCUCCCCGGGAUGACAGGAAAUGGGUGCCAAUGGUAGGAUGUGGGUCUUGGCAGCAAAGGGGAGCCCAGAAAGGGGAGAGGGAGGCCAUGAUUUAGAGAAGACAGCAAAGUGCAAAGGGGCCUGGCUGGGAGGCAGUCAUGCCUCUGCCGCGGCAGUACCUCAGAUUACCAAUUUUCCUCUCUGGGCCUCAGUUCUCCCAUCUGCCACAGGAGGAGGUGGGCACCCCCCAGUCCUUUCUGUAACUAAAGUUCUACCCAGGGCUCCAGGGGAACAGAAAAGGAUAAAGUGGGCCCCAUGUGCCCGAAGCAAAAGAAACCCAUGCCCCUGAGUGGCUGGACCAUGGGCCCAAGGGGGCACUCAGCCAUGGACCUGACCUCUGACCUUCCUCAUAGUCAGGUUGGCCCAGGCCUGAGGGAAGGCACUUGGGGGUCGAGUGGGGAAGGACAGCAGCGGGCAGCUGUGUAGUUUGGCAUCAAAGACCCCCUGCUUAUGGUGUGGGGG